rnacentral:rRNA from 1 species
AGACCCGAAACCCGGUGAUCUAGCCAUGGGCAGGUUGAAGGUUGGGUAACACUAACUGGAGGACCGAACCGACUAAUGUUGAAAAAUUAGCGGAUGACCUGUGGCUGGGGGUGAAAGGCCAAUCAAACCGGGAGAUAGCUGGUUCUCCCCGAAAGCUAUUUAGGUAGCGCCUCGUGAAUUCAUCUCCGGGGGUAGAGCACUGUUUCGGCUAGGGGGCCAUCCCGGCUUACCAACCCGAUGCAAACUGCGAAUACCGGAGAAUGUUAUCACGGGAGACACACGGCGGGUGCUAACGUCCGUCGUGAAGAGGGAAACAACCCAGACCGCCAGCUAAGGUCCCAAAGUCAUGGUUAAGUGGGAAACGAUGUGGGAAGGCCCAGACAGCCAGGAUGUUGGCUUAGAAGCAGCCAUCAUUUAAAGAAAGCGUAAUAGCUCACUGGUCGAGUCGGCCUGCGCGGAAGAUGUAACGGGGCUAAACCAUGCACCGAAGCUGCGGCAGCGAACGUAUCACCCAAGACAACUUUACGGAGUUGACGAUUGACGGAGCGAAGCGACGUCAAAGCGUUCAUUAAAGUCGAGUUGGCUUAGGGAUACGUUCGUUGGGUAGGGGAGCGUUCUGUAAGCCUGUGAAGGUGUGUCGUGAGGCAUGCUGGAGGUAUCAGAAGUGCGAAUGCUGACAUAAGUAACGAUAAAGCGGGUGAAAAGCCCGCUCGCCGGAAGACCAAGGGUUCCUGUCCAACGUUAAUCGGGGCAGGGUGAGUCGACCCCUAAGGCGAGGCCGAAAGGCGUAGUCGAUGGGAAACGGGUUAAUAUUCCCGUACUUGGUGUUACUGCGAAGGGGGGACGGAGAAGGCUAUGUUGGCCGGGCGACGGUUGUCCCGGUUUAAGCGUGUAGGUGUGUGUUCCAGGUAAAUCCGGUUCACUUUAACACUGAGGCGUGACGACGAGGCACUACGGUGCUGAAGCAACAAAUGCCCUGCUUCCAGGAAAAGCCUCUAAGCAUCAGGUAACAUCAAAUCGUACCCCAAACCGACACAGGUG